rnacentral:rRNA from 1 species
GACAGAGGCCCCAAGCGUUAGGCGGAAUCACUGGGCUUAAAGCGUGUGUAGGCGGACUUCUAAGUGCCUUGUGAAAUCCCACGGCUCAACCGUGGAACUGCUGGGCAUACUGGGAGUCUUGGGCCAUUCAGGGCAACUGGAACAAGCGGUGGAGCGGUGAAAUGCGUAGAUAUCGCUUGGAACGCCGAAGGUGAAAACAGGUUGCUGGGGAGUGUGCCGACGCUGAGACACGAAAGCCAGGGGAGCAAACGGG